ACCAAUCUCAUGAAUGUAUGCUUUUGAAUCGUAAGUGCCAUUGUCAUCAUGUGUGAAGCUGUUUUUGUUCUCACAGCUCUUUUGAGACUAUAUCAUCUCCCUAUCAUCAAUAUAAUUAGAGAAGGGUCGAGGUAGGUAUAACUUCAUUGCCGUAACUCUUUAAUGAUCUAUUUUGGUUUAACGUAUUCAGAGGUUUUGAUCCCUGCUCAUCUGGGGUCACCAAUUCUAUGAAGUUAAAAACAGAUUCAUUAGUUAUGCAUGGAUACUGCUGCUAGAGGGAGAUCCUUGCAUGGUUAUUCCUUAAAUGAGAUGGCUCAGAGCAAUUUAGUGCUAAUUGUUAUUGCAUAUUUGGCGUCAUUGAGGUCAUGAAUAUGAAAGACUCCAUGUAACUUGUCUAUCAAGUAUCCUCAAGCUCAGAUAGGUAACCUCUAUCCUGACAUACUUACCAUCCCUCUACCUUCUUGUGUGGAGCUAAAUUCAUGCAGGCAGCAUUUUGGACAUAAGGCGGCUAAUGAGUCUAAUGCGCACUCGACAACUGAUCAUUGAAUAGAUAAUAUAGUUGAGAAUAUUAAACAAGUGCUUAUUGUCCACUUGGAUUAGUGCGUGCAGGCUUUGGCAUCAUGUAUAGGUAUCUAUCACUUUCUUAAGACUUUUCCUCUUAAAGUAUACACUAUAGAUUCCCUUCUGCAAUUUAUUCAUUGCAAGAGGGUGCGAAUUUUCAGCUCUGCCAAAGUUCUAGAUUCUGCGGGGGAAAUUAUGGCAAAUAUAGCUAUACUAGGUGGGCUAAGGCCCGUGCUCCCAGUAUUAUGAUUGUAAUGGUGGCCAGGCAUUGAAUAGCAUUUUGCAAGCUCUCUCUUUAGGGGAGCAAAAGUUAAAAAAUCCGACUUCCACUGUAAUGAAGAACAGAUGAUAUAGUAUCCAUAGUGACUUUUCAGUAUCUCCAUUGGAGUCCUUCAACAAGAAUUACUCAAAUCUAGCAUGAAGUUGAGCAUCAUGUUCCUCCACUCUGUAGAGAAAAUGUAUUAGCGAAAUUUCUUGGAGUUUUGGCUAGAAAGCAUUUUGUUGAAGGAUUUCAGAGAAAAAAUUGACUCGAAAAUCUUCCCAUGCAAAUCCUAAGGUUUAUUGUAUUAUUUUGUUCAUUUUUAUCUUGAUUGUCAAAAAAGUUAUUGACCAACAACUUUUUUAUCAUUAACAUAUAGUCAUUACGGCUAGUAAUUGAAUUAAUAACUGAAUUUGUCAAA